rnacentral:lncRNA from 1 species
AUGGAAGCGAAAGAAACCUCCCAUUCACAGGCUGCCGCUAAAGCAGGCACAUUUUCAAAUCGGGAGGGGGGGGGGAUUGGAAAAAGGUCAAUAAGCAAAAAAAAAAAAAAAAAAACCCAAAAAAACCCAACCAACCCCGGCAAAGUAGGAGUUGGGUACCCCGCGGCGAGAGCGGCCCGUCUCCGCGUCUCGGUGCCUGCGCCCUGCAGGGGCCCGGUCCCCCGGCCGCCCCGAGCGCCCGCGCCCGUGCGGAAGGAGCGGGCCUGCGGGGACCGACGCCGCCGGGCGGGGGCGGGGGCGGGGGCUCGGCCGGGAGCCGCGGGCCUCGUCGCCCCCGGUGCGCUCCCUCGGGCCGGCGGCGCCGCGGCUGGAGGGGCUGCCGGCGGUGGCGCGUACCGCAACGUUUUGCCGCAUCCCGGUGCCCGGGGCCGGCGCGCGGCCCCCUCCCGGGUCCCGGGCCCCAGCGGCGGCCUCGUGGGGCGCGCAGCGGAGGCGGGGACCGCUCGGGAUGUCGCGGGGGCCUUCAGCCGCGCUGCGCACGCAUUUCUCCGCGCGCUCCCGUCCCACCCGGGGCAGCUACUGGAGUUUCCAGCGGCCUCCCCAGACCCGGGCGUGCGGUGCUGGAGGGGUGAGGGACGGCCGGCUCGGGCCACGCGGCCGGGGUCCCCGGGGCGUCACUGGCCCGCCUGUCACUGGCGGAGUGAGCCGGGGGCUCCGUGGCCCAGAGCGGCGGUCCCGGCGCCCCCUGCCCCCCACCCUGCCGACCCCCCCCCCCACCGCCAGCCACAGGAGGGCUGCUCUCACCAAGCCCGGAAUCCGCUCAACAUUGGGGCAUCUUGCAAAGUCGCGCUGCCAGCACUUGCCCGGCUUCGCAGGGCUUUUGGAGUUAGCCACCGGCUUCUCCCGAUCCCGCGUCGCCGGCUGCCUGGGGUCUCCGACCAGCUCGGGGGCCACUGCCCUGAGCCACGGAUCCACGUCCGCCCGGGGUGCUUGCGAGGGGGGCGCAGAAGACAAAGCCAGCGCAGCGGCCCCGACAGCCCGAGCCGCCCUAGACCCGGACACUUGCCCCGGCGCCCCGGCCGCCGCCGGGGGAGGCACGGGAUUAAGGACACCGGAUCUUUGGGUCCUCGGGGACUUGCGAGCGCGCCGGGUCGGCAAGCGGCUGCUGGUGGGGUAGCCACUAUGGUCGCUCUGGCCACUCCGCCGGCCCCAAACCAACACGACCCAAACUAA